GCUUUCUGGUAAUAGUCUCCCU
rnacentral:miRNA from 1 species